rnacentral:lncRNA from 1 species
UUUUCAGUUAUGGAGUCUUGGUGUUGGAAAUAGUUAGCGGGAGAAAAAACCAUGAUCUGAAGCUUGAUGCAGAAAAGGCAGAUCUUCUAAGCUAUGUAAGUUGUUCUCAUGGAAGGCAUGAAAGAAAAUUUAGUAUGUGCUAAUUAUUCUCAUCAACUGAGAUUCUUGUAAUAAAUUAAUGAUAAGCUGCUGCAAAAUGUAUAUUUUCUAAACAUAGAUAAAUUCCACCGUACUUGAAAAUAGUUCGAAACUUUAACGACAACAGUUGUCACAUUAAGGAAGCAGAAGUUCUCGACCCUCUUUGUGCUCACGGCUGAAACACUAACUUAAUCAGCACAUGUUACACAAAAAUAAACAAAUAUGUAUGCAUCAAAAUUCAACUCAUUAAUUUUUUCGUUGAUUUUGUUCAGUGCACACCAAUCAAGUUAUUGUCUCAGUCGUAAGAAAGAAGAGAACCGUAAGUUUCUACUUCCGAGGGGGCGCCGUUGAUCGUUGUUAAGUUUUAGACUGUUUUCAAGUACUGAUCCUCUGUGGACCACCUAACUAGGCGAUCCAGCAUACCAUACAACCCGCCUCUAAAUAUAUGCUUAGGAUUAAUAAAACAAGUACGUUCUGUGUCCAAAUCAUGAUGCUAUUUCUUGAUGAACAUGGUACACGUUUUGCAUUGACAUGUAUCGGACACCAAACAACAAAACCAGCAUUAUACAUGUGUAUGUUAGAUCCCUAUUUGUUGACUUAUAUGGUCAAAGGGAAUUUACAUGAAACUUCUUACCAUAUUAUGACAAUUUCUUUCACAUUUUUACAAUGUUUCUUUUUUCAUAACUUAUUUGUAGGC